rnacentral:rRNA from 1 species
UACGAAGGGGGCAAGCGUUGUUCGGAUUUACUGGGCGUAAAGGGCGCGCAGGCGGCUCUUCAAGUCAGAUGUGAAAGCCCCGGGCUCAACUUGGGAACUGCAUUUGAGACUGAAGAACUCGAGUUCGGGAGAGGAUGGCGGAAUUCCCAGUGUAGAGGUGAAAUUCGUAGAUAUUGGGAAGAACACCGGUGGCGAAGGCGGCCAUCUGGACCGAGACUGACGCUGAGGCGCGAAAGCGUGGGGAGCAAACAGG